rnacentral:rRNA from 1 species
GUGGGGAAUAUUGGACAAUGGGCGCAAGCCUGAUCCAGCCAUGCAGCGUGUGUGAAGAAGGCCUUUUGGUUGUAAAGCACUUUAAGCGAGGAGGAGGCUCCUUUAGUUAAUACCUAAAGAGAGUGGACGUUACUCGCAGAAUAAGCACCGGCUAACUCUGUGCCAGCAGCCGCGGUAAUACAGAGGGUGCGAGCGUUAAUCGGAUUUACUGGGCGUAAAGCGUGCGUAGGCGGCUUUUUAAGUCGGAUGUGAAAUCCCUGAGCUUAACUUAGGAAUUGCAUUCGAUACUGGAAAGCUAGAGUAUGGGAGAGGAUGGUAGAAUUCCAGGUGUAGCGGUGAAAUGCGUAGAGAUCUGGAGGAAUACCGAUGGCGAAGGCAGCCAUCUGGCCUAAUACUGACGCUGAGGUACGAAAGCAUGGGGAGCAAACAGGAUUAGAAACCCUUGUAGUCC